AGUUUGAUCAUGGCUCAGAUUGAACGCUGGCAGGAUGCUUUACACAUGCAAGUCGAACGGCAACAGCACGGACUUCGGUCUGGUGGCGAGUGGCGAACAGGUGAGUAAUGUAUCGGAACGUGCCUAGUAGUGGGGGGAUAACUACGCGAAAGCGUAGCUAAUACCGCAUACGCCCUUCGGGGAAAGCGGGGGACCUUCGGGCCUCACGCACUAUUAGAGCGGCCGAUAUCGGAUUAGCUAGUUGGUGGGGUAACGGCUCACCAAGGCGACGAUCCGUAGCUGGUUUGAGAGAGGACAUUCCAGCCACACUGGGACUGAGACACGGCCCAGACUCCUACGGGAGGCAGCAGUGGGGAAUUUUGGACAAUGGAAACCUGAUCCAGCCAUCCCGCGUGUGCGAUGAAGGCCUUCGGGUUGUAAAGCACUUUUGGCGGGAAAGAAACGGCACGGGAUAAUACCCCGUGCAACUGGCGGUACCUGCAGAAUAAGCGCCGGCUAACUACGUGCCAGCAGCCGCGGUAAUACGUAGGGUGCAAGCGUUAAUCGGAAUUACCUGGGAAUAAAGCGUACGCAGGCGGUUCGGAAGAAGAUGUGAAAUCCCAGAGCUUAACUUUGGAACUGCAUUUUUAACUACCGGCUAGAGUGUGUGUCAGAGGGAGGUGGAAUUCCGCGUGUAGCAGUGAAAUGCGUAGAUAUGCGGAGGAACACCGAUGAAGGCAGCCUCCUGGGAUAACACUGACGCUCAUGCACGAAAAGCGUGGGGGCAAACAGGAUUAGAUACCCUGGUAGUCCACGCCCUAAACGAUGUCAACUAGCUGUUCCAGGGCCUUCCGGGCCUUGGUAGCGCAGCCCCAGCGCGUGAAAGUGCCGAUGCCUGGAAUACGGUCGCAGACAAAAACUCAAAAGAAUGACGGGGAUUGCAAGCGGCAAGUGAUGAACAAAAAAAAAUUCCGGCGACGCAAAAACUACCUUCUACCGACGCGCCCGAAUCCCGAAGAGUUGGAGAAGCUCGCAAGAAGACGAACACUGAGUGCUAGCAUAUUCGGCGUCAUUCGAUGUCGUCAGAUGUUGCGACAGCCCCGCAACAGGUGCAACCACGUCAUUUGAUUUAUGCGAAGGCACUCUGUUGAACUGCCGAUGGCGCUCAAGCUGAUGACAGUGGGACAGCCGUCAAGUCUCACCCAGCGCCUAUAGGUGCGGCUGCACGUCAUACAAUGGUCGGGACAGAGGGUCGCCAACCCGCGAGGGGAGCCAAUCCCAGGAAACCCGAUCGUAGUCGGAUCGCAGUCUGCAACUCGACUGCGUGAAGUCGGAAUCAUAGUAAUCGCGGAUCAGCAUGUCGCGGUGAAUACGUUCCCGGGUCUUGUACACACCGCCCGUCACACCAUGGGAGUGGGUUUUACCAGAAGUAGUUAGCCUAACCGUAAGGAGGGCGAUUACCACGGUAAAGUUCAUGACUGAAAUUGAAGUCGUAACAAGGUAACUCUGUUACUGAUGCUCAG
rnacentral:rRNA from 1 species